UAACAAAGGUUUCCGUAGGUGAACCUGCGGAAGGAUCAUUAACGAGUUUUGAAACGGGUUGUUGCUGGCCAUCCGAGGCAUGUGCACGCCCUGCUCAUCCACUCUACACCUGUGCACUUACUGUAGGUUGGCGUGGGUUUCUGGCCUCCGGGUUGGAAGCAUUCUGCCGGCCUAUGUACACUACAAACUCUUAAAGUAUCAGAAUGUAAACGCGUCUAACGCAUCUUAAUACAACUUUCAGCAACGGAUCUCUUGGCUCUCGCAUCGAUGAAGAACGCAGCGAAAUGCGAUAAGUAAUGUGAAUUGCAGAAUUCAGUGAAUCAUCGAAUCUUUGAACGCACCUUGCGCUCCUUGGUAUUCCGAGGAGCAUGCCUGUUUGAGUGUCAUGAAAUUCUCAACCCAUAAAUCCUUGUGAUCUAUGGGCUUGGAUUUGGAGGCUUGCUGGCCCUAGCGGUCGGCUCCUCUUGAAUGCAUUAGCUUGAUUCCGUGCGGAUCGGCUCUCAGUGUGAUAAUUGUCUACGCUGUGACCGUGAAGCGUUUUGGCAAGCUUCUAACCGUCCAUUAGGACAAUUUUAUAACAUCUGACCUCAAAUCAGGUAGGACUACCCGCUGAACUUAAGCAUAUCAAUAAGCGGAGGA
rnacentral:rRNA from 1 species